AACCUCUUCUAAACUUUGUUUUCAAAUAAUUAAUUAAGAUUUGGUAUUUACAUAAAUUAUUCAUCUAAUCCCUGUGGAGAUCGACCUUGCUAGAGUUGCUAUACUACGACAAUCUUGUACUCUUGCAAGUAUUUUCAAGUGUUUUUAUCCCUACUUUUGUAGGUGGAAAUCCCUAUCAGAGCCCAUGUAGAAUUUGAAAUUCAACCCGAAAUAAAAUCAGAUGCAUCAUUAAUUUUUUUUUUGAGCACAUUAAUAUUUUUACAUUAAGAGGAGAAGGAGUUUAGUUAAGCCACACAAUGAGCAUCCUAAUUUGGUAUCGAAUUCGCCAUCCACGAGAUUUGAACUAAGACCUCUCACUUCUAAGUGAUGACCACUAGAAUACAUCAUUAAAAUUUUUAAACGAGGGAGAGAACCAUCUCAACAGCUCCCUUGCCUUUUUACUUCUUCUUUCCUCAGUUAAUUGAUUCAGAAUCCCCAAUGAAUUGAUACUCAAAACCCAGCGGCUAUACAACCUAUUCAGAAAAUUUCACAAAACCACAAUUCAUGCAUCAUGCUAUAAUAAUACGAAAUCAAUAACUAUGAACAUAUUCAAAUUCUUAAAUAUAACAACAAUAACUAAUCCAACACAUUAAACAAAAAAACUCAACCAUUGCACACCAAAUUCACAACCUAAUCUAAUUUGAGGGUGUAAAGUAAGAAUAUCACCCUCGCGAGACCCAAAAAAGGUCGGAAAGGCCUGAAACCGAUAAGAGAAAACUUAGAUCUUCGUCGGAAAAACCCACCGCUAGCUGGGUUAAUGGAACUCCUCAUUCUAGGGGCAGAUUCGAGCAUGAAACUUGAAUGUUGUUGGGACUCUCCUGAGUCGGAUAUAUGUGGUUGCAGGGCCGACUGCCAGUGGAAAACUUAUGAAAGUCGUCGGGAAUGUCAAACCCAAACUGGGUUCGAGGAUUCGGGUGCGGAUUAAGAUUGAUGGAAGGUAUGGCUGUAUUGAUUUGGAGAAGGAGAUGAAAUUGAUGAUUUUUGGGUUUCUCGUUCAAAUGGCGAGUCGCAAGGGGGCAACGAGAGGGAAGAGAGAAGAAGAAAGAGAAACAAUAAAUUGUAUAUAUAUAUAUUCUUAGACAGUGGAAAAAGUGUAAUAAAACAAACUUAGCUGGACCAAAUAGGAAGCACACUAUGCUUAUGAACAAUGAAUCAGUUAGUUUUGAGUUUUAGUAUAUACUAGAUAGUAAUGCAUGCGCAUUGCUGCGAGAUUACAAAUAACGCAAACAAUUAUGUAACUUCAUUAUUAUCAAACAUUUCCUCCAAUUACUACACAAUUUUAUUAAACAGGGAAUAAGAUGAUUUUCUUGUCACAAAAUUAGCGUUUUCAAUGUAUCAUAGCAAGUGGUAAUUAUUGGAAUGAAUAUGAUAACAUAUAUGAUAAAAUUUAAUAACCUGAAUAUCAACAAUCAGAAACAUAAUUGUAAAUAUAAAGUUAGGUCAUUUAAUGGUUACAAACAAAAAGUAGAUGAAAAUUAAAAGGAUUGAGUUCCUUGUAAUAAGAUACUCUUCUCUAAGAUGAAUGAAACUAAAGCCCCCGACAACAAAUUAAUAGCUGGGAAGAAAGGAAAAAAUAUGCAUGAAUAAAAUUUUAAUUUUCAACCACCCUUAAUUUAUAAUUAAGCUAAGCAAAUACACAGCAAGCACAACACAAUCACAACAAUAAAAGCUUUCAAUAGCAUUAUAUUUAUCAAUUAAUCUGUUCAUGAAUUUAAAAAAAUUAUGCAGUUUUAUAGGUCACUAAACCCAAAAUACAAAUUAUGCAGUCAAUCUCACUACCCUUUUUAUUUAUUUCCUCCAAUUGCAUCAGAACAUACUUUGAAGUCCAUUCAAUCAAGAAAUUCAAACAUAUCAUAAAGAUGAAUUCAGUCCUUAAUUAGCAAUACAUCAGACCCCCAAUAAUCUAUUAAAUACAUAGAUUAAACAUAGACAGUCAAAUCUCACAGACUAACCAAAUGACAUUAAGUAAUGAUCCACAAUGAAGUAGCCAAAACGAAAACAAUUAUGAGAUAUUUAGGUGAUACGAAAAAAAUAUAUGGAAUACUAAGAUUAAAAUCUUAUGCACAAUUAAGUGAGUGAAAAAUGAGCUUAUUGUAAAUUCAAACCCACCAAGGAAUCAAAUUGAAAUCAAUGACAAUAUACAGACCCAAAAUCACCCUGCUCCUGCAAAAACAAACAUAAGAUACUUGUUAGACAUCGAAAGUUAAAAAAAAACAAUAUUGAAAGCCUUCUGGACGCAUUGCAAGACCUUUUUGGAAUGUCAACAUCAUUAUAGGUAUGAAAUAUAACCGUUAGAAAAAGGGAUUAACUGUGUUGUAAGCAUUGAGAUGUGUAAAAAUUAUUUACAUAAAAUAUUAGUAGUUGUUGACGACUCUAUAUACACAUAAAGAUUUGUUCAAAAUAGAGCAAUGCACUCUAAAAAUUGUAGCACUUUGACUACUGAGCAAAUAGUCACCCAGUCAAAUUGUCAGUUUUUACAUGCAAUGAAAUUAAAAUUCGCAUAAUCAGCAAGGAUAACAGAUAAAUUAUCAUUUUCCAUUUCAAUUAAAAAACCAUAUCUAUUAAAAUCCUAGAACAACUUUAACUACAAAUAAAAUAACCCAUAUGCCAAACAUUCAACUGUUUUAAAGAAAAAAAAUCUGGAACUUAAACAGUGAAACGAUAUACACGAAACCAUGAAACAUUAUCCAAAAGGAAAAAGAACUUACAUCUCGAGUAGUCAUCCCUCUUGUUGGCAAUCCCAUCAUAGCCUAAUAUUGAACAAAAAUUUCAACUUUUCACAAUCUGGGGUCUUAAAUAAUAAGACCAAAAUUUUCUAGGCAACCAAACAAUGGAAAUAGCUGAAGUAGAGAAACCCAGAAAGAGUAAAAGUCAAAGAGAGAAGAAUGUACCAUUUCGAGGAGUUGAACUCGAAAACACUUGCUAGAAAAAACUCACUGAUACGCAUUUAGAUAUCUUUUAUUAAUUGCACAGUUAAAGCGUCAUAGAUACAAUAUUCCUCUAGCCAUCAGAACCUAGAACCUAGAACAUAUAACUAUUAAGUGUUAUAAAAACUUACCACAAAAUUGUCAUAAGAGAAUAUACAACCGUAAGCUUCAUUCAGUUUCAUGGCAUAUCAUAUCAAUUUAUGAAAACCUCCUUGCAGUUUGUCGUUCAAAAAAUCCAACUCAGAGUAAAAAUCAACAAUAGUAACCCAUAAUAGCAUAAAGUAUAACCAUUAAAUUAAAUUCAAUAUAACACAGAAACAAUUUCACUACUAUACAUAGAACUCCAUAAAUUCCUUACCACAUAAACCUUGAGAGGUCCAAUAGGUCUAGAAGCCUCAAAAACCUUUUUCCAUAUUCAGCUCCAACCGCCUGAAAACAUUGAAAAACAGAGGAAAAAAAAAACAUAAACUCAUCAAAAUUCCCCACCCAAAAAUAAGCUAAAAAUGGAAAAUAUUCAAACCCCAAAAGCUCUGGUUUCCUAUAUGCCACAUGGAUCUACAUUAGAAAACAUUGUCGUAGUCUUAUACUUAAUUCGGUAUAAAAGUGAAAGAUUUAAGAUAUUUCAGUACAAUGCAAGCGGUAGACAUGUCAAAAUUAGAUUUUAUUUGAUAAUUAUCAAGAAAUAUCAUCUAGAAAUGACAAAACCAAAUUAUAGUCGUAACAAUGAUUUCACCUUUGUUUAUUUUUCUUUUACAAUAGGUCUUAUAUGUGUGUUAAUUUCCUAUAAAUGGUUAUUUGAUUGAGUCUAAAAUCUUCAGUCAAAUAUUUCAACCAUCAAAACCAAAUCUUCAAUCCAUUCAAACUAUAUAUUAAAGUUUAUUAUCAAAUAUAGGAAACAAUGAAUAAAACAAAUCAUACUCAUACAUGGAUACACCAAUACACAGUGACAUUACAACAAUUUGAUACCAAAAAUCGAAAUGCUCAGAUACUCAACACAGACACUAUUCAUAGAUCCAUGACUAAGAAUUUCUCAGCUCUCGGUUGAAAUUAAUUAAAUAAAAAAAAUCACGGAAGCGAAUUUAUACCUCUGAUAUUUAGAGCUUCGUGUCCCAUGAUUCCUUCGCCGGCUUGGUUCAUCUUCUAAUCCAUUGUUCGGCCUUCACACAACCUGCAGAUAGAAACAAUACCCAUUAUACCUUGGUCAGAUGGAUUUUAGAGAGAGGAGAGAGAGAUUAGGGCUUAAGGGCAAACUGAAAACAAUUUUUUUUAUGCAAGUGUAACAUGCCAAUUUGUAAAUAUAACGACCCGUAUUUUCCAGUAUUCAAAAUCAAAGGUAGUUCAUUGGUCCACAUCAUGCAAGAUUUGCGCCGAAAUUGAUAGUGUAGCAUGAAAACUUAAAUCAAAGAUUGAACCUAAACUCAAGUAUCCACAUUCAUGUCGAACAUAAAUGAAAGAUGUACAAAAUAUCAAACCAUGACAAAGAUUUAAAAUUUAUUCCUAACCCAUCAAAGUUUUCAAAUUUUUACAAACUGGGUUCAAUUUACCGCACAAAAAAUUCAACAAUACAGAAAAAUCCAUACCUUUAACGCCAAGAAAACCUUCACUAUAUGAGAGGUAAAGUCAAUCUGCAACACAAUAAAUUGAUCACAUAAACGUAAGUAGAUAUAAUCAAAUCAAAUUAGAGUAUUGAUGAAGAAGAAAUGAAAAGAAGAGGGUUACUAUGCUAUGCAUUCAGGAUCUUCCUGGAAUCAAAACCCCAAAAAACUAAAACGAAAUUUGCAUCGAAAACCCAUUCGGAAUCCAAAUUUACAUCCCUGAAUUAGUUGGAGCAAUUCAAUUGAUAAACACCCAGAACACAGUAAACCAAAAAUGAAAUAUACAAACACAGAAAAAUAAAAAUGAUCUAAAAAAAAAUUCAAUUAAAAGAAAGGAUUUGAGAUAUGAGAGACAUGCAUACCUUGCAGGUAGGCAGCAGUGGCUGAUGGGUAGAUGCUGGCUGCGUUGAUUCUUUCUGGGAGAAAACGGGAAGAAGAAUAUGCGAGAGAGUUCAAUAAAAAUCAAUAUUUGCAACUUUCUCACCUGCAAACGUUGGAUUAGAUAAGCCCAGAACAAAUUCCGACCGAAUUAAAAAUGGGUAGAAACUUCUAACCUCUUAUUGAUUUUCAAGAAAACAACUUUGAUAACUAAUUCGUGAACAACAAAGCAAGAGGCGGAAUAAUUUGAAGAAUAAAAAUGACGAAGCGGUACAGCCACAUAAAACAAAGUCUGAGACGGAGAGAAAUGGACGGCCAAAAAGGAAGGAGCUUGAGGUAUGUGAGAGGAGAGUGAAAAGUAAAACAGAAGAAAAAAGGGGGUUAAAAUAGGAUGAUGUUAAUAAAUAAAGAAAAGAAAUACAUGAAAAGUAGCAGAUGAAGUCGUUGCUAACAAGAGCUAUCAAGCAGAUUUAGCUCAAUCUCAACAAGAAUUUUACACAUUGAAUGCAAACAAAUCAAGUUCCAGCUCUCUCAGUAGCUGUAAGUAACGAAACAAACAAAUCAGAUAAGAUAAAAAUAAAGCAAAUGUAUCGUAAC
rnacentral:lncRNA from 1 species